GAUGAACGCUGGCGGCGUGCCUAACACAUGCAAGUCGAGCGAGGGUUUGCUCAGUAUUGAGUAUUCUAAGACUAGAAUGUUCAAUUCUGAGCAAAACCAAGCGGCGGACGGGUGAGUAACGCGUGGGUAACCUGCCCUAUACACAUGGAUAACAUACUGAAAAGUUUACUAAUACAUGAUAAUAUAUAUUUGUGGCAUCGCAGAUAUAUCAAAGUGUUAGCGGUAUAGGAUGGACCCGCGUCUGAUUAGCUAGUUGGUGAGAUAACUGCCCACCAAGGCGACGAUCAGUAGCCGACCUGAGAGGGUGAUCGGCCACAUUGGAACUGAGACACGGUCCAAACUCCUACGGGAGGCAGCAGUGGGGAAUAUUGCACAAUGGGCGAAAGCCUGAUGCAGCAACGCCGCGUGAACGAUGAAGGUCUUCGGAUCGUAAAGUUCUGUUGCAGGGGAAGAUAAUGACGGUACCCUGUGAGGAAGCCCCGGCUAACUACGUGCCAGCAGCCGCGGUAAUACGUAGGGGGCUAGCGUUAUCCGGAUUUACUGGGCGUAAAGGGUGCGUAGGUGGUCCUUCAAGUCGGUGGUUAAAGGCUACGGCUCAACCGUAGUAAGCCGCCGAAACUGGAGAACUUGAGUGCAGGAGAGGAAAGUGGAAUUCCCAGUGUAGCGGUGAAAUGCGUAGAUAUUGGGAGGAACACCAGUAGCGAAGGCGGCUUUCUGGACUGCAACUGACACUGAGGCACGAAAGCGUGGGUAGCGAACAGG
rnacentral:rRNA from 1 species